rnacentral:lncRNA from 13 species
CUCUCACUCUCUGUCUCUCUCUCUGUCUCUCUCUGUGUCUCUCUCGGUGUCUCUCUCUCUGUCUCUCUCUCUCUCUCUGUCUCUCUCUCUAUUUAUCUCAAUCACACUGUCUCUCUCUCAUUCUCUCUCGCUCUCUCUCCCUGUCUCUCUCUCCUCUCUCGCUGUCUCACUCUCUCGCUGUCUCUCUCUCUCGCUGUCUCUCUCUCUCUCGCUAUGUCUCUCUCCCCAGGUGUGUCUCUCAGUAAGGUAGUGUACCAGUCUCCCUCUACACUGCUGGUAGAGCCUAAUGCGUCUGUCUCUGUCCCUCUCCCUGUCUCUGUCUCUCUCCCCAGGUGUCUCUCAGUAAGGUAGUGUACCAGUCUCCCUCUACACUGCUGGUAGAGCCUAAUGCGUCUGUCUCUGUCCCACUCAGCUGCAGUCAUAAAAUCCCUAACUAUGACACUAUCCUCUGGUACCAGUGUCCUGUGGGAGACACAGCUCUGAAACUCAUAGCUUAUGUGUACUUUACAGGUCAGACUGUUGAACCCUCAUAUAAAGGUUACUUUGACGUGAAAGGUGAUGGAAGGAACGAAGCCUUCCUUCAUCUCCUCAAACUGAGACAAGUUGAAGACAGUGGGGAGUAUUUAUGUGCUGCUAGUUAUACACAGUGGUUACAGAGACACCGUCUACUCUACAAAAACCUCUACCUAUCAGACCCAUCUGGUACUGUAUCAAAACACCUGCAUUAAACCACAUGAACUAACAAACCUCUGUUCAGAGAGAGAUGAGGGGAGAGGAGGAUAGAGAGAAGGAGGGGAAGUUAGAAAGAGAGAGCGAGAAGGAGGGAAAGGGAGACUGAGAAAGAGGGAUAGACAGACCGAGGUUGGGCAGAGCAUGUAGCUGCCAAUCAAUGUCGCCGUGAUGAUGUACUUUCCCCUUUGUCUGUCUCAGUGUGAAGCGUCACACUGAUGAUCUGCUCUUUUCUCUCUGUAGUGCAGACAGACUGUCAACAUGAUCCUCACUGUCUCUUUGGUAUCACAUUGUCUCACAGAGGAGGUGGUGUUCUCCUCCUCUCUCCUCAUCCGCCAGACUCCUCAACACCUCCUGAGGAGGACAACUGAACACAGAGAGGCACACCUGGACUGUCACCACGGCGACAAGGACUACCCAUACAUGUUGUGGUACCAACAGAAGGACAAGGGAGGACAGAAGACCAUGGUACUCAUUGGGACACUACACUAUACAAACCCAACUCUUGAGAAGAACUAUGAAACACGGUUCAACUUAACAGGUCAUUCCAAGGCCAAAGCCAGCCUGGUUAUCUCUGAGAUAAACCCUACAGACAGUGCAGUGUAUUACUGUGCAGCCAGUCAGCACAGUGCUGCAAAUUCAUUCCCUCACUAACCAAAAACGACUGAAAUUGGUAUCCUUUUCUCCGGACAAGGGCAUUUCCAGGCAUAGAGGCAACAUGGAAAUUAAAAAUAUUGAAAAUAUUUAGAAGAAUUCCAAAAAUAAAAAAAAAUCCUCAUAAAAUUCCCCUGAAUGAUAAUUAAUAAGUUAAAAUAAUGCAACAAAAGAAAGCACAUUUUCCUUCUAUUCUACUUUGCCAUGAGACUGGGAGAAAAAUGUUUUAAAGCUAAUUUUCAGUCAUCCACUCCCAU